rnacentral:lncRNA from 1 species
CUGAUUUCUGUGUAUUUUUCUUGUAUCCUACAAUCUUGACAAGCUCAUGAGUUAGCUCUAAUAUGUGUUUCAUAGAUUCCUUAGGAUUUUCUACGUAAAGUCAUGUUAUCUGCAAAUAAUGAUAGUUUUCCUUCUCCAUUUCCAAUUUUUAUACCUUUUAUUUCUCUCUCCUUGCAUUAUUGUGUAUUUUAUACCUCCACACCUAUGAACUGCACAUACAUGAUGCUGAGCGUGUUCCUGUGAGGCUUCUCCUGCUGUGAUGUUAAAAGUACCCCUGAUCAUGUUGAAAGACAUACUUGACAUAGAUUGGAGAUGAAACGCUUUCCAGUUACACCCAUGUGGAGCUCAUCAAAGUCUCUAGCAGUAAGAGGUCAUCAUGCUCCAAAUUGCCAGGACAUUUCUGCAGCUCGGUUUGGAGUUGAGGCAUUCAACUGAAUUUCUGGGUAACUGCUGGGGAUCAUGCCAUUUCCACUCCAGCACACUGCUCUCUCUACGGGGGAAAAAGAUUAGUUCUUGGUGUCUGGAAAAGGAAGAAGUGGGUGAAACCUUAACUAAGUAGGUUCAAUUGAGCUUGAGGGAUGAAUUAAAUUUCAUUCAGAUAGGAAGGGAAAGGGCCGUCUUGGCAGAAGAACUGUGUGGGCACAAGAUGCACUGUUUUGUGUAUGUGUGUAUGAGUAUAGGAAUA